rnacentral:lncRNA from 1 species
CUCCACCAUGAAGGGAACACUUCUUCUGCUGUCUUUGCUGGUGAUUGGAGAGCUGGGCUUCCAGACAACGGAAGCGUGCCUUACUUUCUUCGAAGGCUAUUGGAGAGUAGCCUUUGCAGGAAAGACACUGCUGAAUUCCUUCCUUUCAAAGUUAGACGCUACAGCCGCAGAAAGGGUGGCCCUUGAAAAAAAUCCAAGACUGCUACCAUGAAGGAGGACUAAAAACCAAACUUCUGGAUCUCCAAGUUAUGGAAGCCGUGAUCACCAGCCAAGAAUGCCUGACAUACCAUGGUGAAGAACUUGUAGCAAAAAUUACGGAUAUAUUUACCAGGUUAAACAGGCUUAGAAGUUAAUGGGUUUUAGGCAACCCAUCUUUGCAACAUGUCCGAUCCGAGCGUCCUCUUUCUUUCCUGAAGUUGGAUUCCUGACUCCUGUGCCCUCAUCCUUCAGUCUCUUAGGCUGAUUCUAAUAAAUGCCUGCAGCUCUGUUCUGUG